rnacentral:rRNA from 1 species
CGCUCAUUCGGUUGGGCGAGUAAAGCAGCGAUGCGCUUAGGGAUGGGCCUGCGGCGGAUUAGGUAGUUGGUGGGGUAACGGCCUACCAAGCCGAUGAUCCGUAGGGGGCGUGAGAGCGUGGCCCCCCACACUGGCACUGAGACACGGGCCAGACUCCUACGGGAGGCAGCAGUGAGGAAUAUUGCACAAUGGGCGCAAGCCUGAUGCAGCAACGCCGCGUGAGGGACGAAGGCCUUCGGGUUGUAAACCUCUUUUCUGAGGGACGAGGAAGGACGGUACCUCAGGAAUAAGUCUCGGCUAACUACGUGCCAGCAGCCGCGGUAAAACGUAGGAGGCGAGCGUUAUCCGGAUUUACUGGGCGUAAAGCGCGCGCAGGUGGCUUCGUGAGUCGGACAUGAAAGCUCCUGGCUUAACUGGGAGAGGCUGUUCGAUACUGCGGGGCUUGAGGUUGGGAGAGGGACGCGGAAUUCCCGGUGUAGUGGUGGAAUGCGUAGAUAUCGGGAGGAACACCAGUGGCGCAAGCGGCGUCCUGGCCCACACCUGACGCUGAGGUGCGAAAGCGUGGGUAGCAAACAGGAUUAGAUACCCUGGUAGUCCACGCUGUAAACGAUGUCAACUGGGUGUCGGUAGUUUUACACUAUCGGUGCCGAAGCUAACGCG